AUGCUGUUGGUGGGGACAGCAUGUUUGCCGUUCUGGGUGACUGCCCGCACGGGGAGCUGAUGCUGUCCAAUGGUCACUGGAGCUGCCUGCUGAAGGAUCGUGACUGUCUGUCCUGGAACACCCUGUGCCAUUUGACUGGCAACUGUCUGAAUAACACGGCUGGCGGUGGGUAUUGUGGCAAACGCGAUCGUUGGCUUUUCAUCCAUACCUCGGUGGUCACCAGCUAAGUCCAACACUGCUCCUGCAGCUUCAUGAGCUCCUCCUGCCGUGCCCUGAUUUGUGAGGAUGUAUCCAUUUGCAGAGUUUGCAGAGGAGGUCACAACUCGGACCAUUG
rnacentral:lncRNA from 1 species